CCCUUCGGGGAAAUGGAGGAGCGGCGCAAGGGAGAGUAACGCGUGGAUACCUGCCCCGAGGUCCGGGAUAGCCCAUCGAAAGGUGGGGUAAUACCGGAUAACAUCUCCGGAUCAAAGGUGUGAUUCCGCCCCGGGAUGGGACCGCGUCCUAUUAGCUUGUUGGUGGGGUAAUGGCCUACCAAGGCGACGAUGGGUAGUGGGCGUUAGCGCGUGGCCCGCCUCACUGGGACUGAGACACUGCCCAGACACCUACGGGUGGCUGCAGUCGAGAAUCUUCGGCAAUGGGCGCAAGCCUGACCGAGCGACGCCGCGUGCGGGAUGAAGGCCUUCGGGUUGUAAACCGCUGUCAGAGGGGAGGAAGGGUCCGUGAAGAGCGGAACUUGACCUAUCCUCAGAGGAAGUGCGGGCUAAGUUCGUGCCAGCAGCCGCGGUAAGACGAACCGCACAAACGUUAUUCGGAAUCACUGGGCUUAAAGGGUGCGUAGGCGGCCGUUCAAGUCGGGUGUGAAAGCCCUCAGCUUAACUGAGGAAUUGCGCCCGAUACUGUUCGGCUUGAGGGAGACAGAGGUGAGCGGAACUUGCGGUGGAGCGGUGAAAUGCGUUGAUAUCGCAAGGAACACCAGUAGCGAAAGCGGCUCACUGGGUCUCUUCUGACGCUGAGGCACGAAAGCUAGGGUAGCGAAGAGGAUUAGAUACCCUCGUAGUCCUAGCUGUAAACGCUGAGCACUGGAUUGGAGGGUCCUCCAUAGCCUUCCGGUCGUAGCGAAAGUGUCAAGUGCUCCGCCUGGGGGAGUAUGGUCGCAAGGCUUGAUACUCAAAGGAAUUGACGGGGGCUCUACUACAAGCGGUGGAGGAUGUGGCUUAAUUCGAGGCUACGCGAAGAACCUUAUCCUGGAUUUGACUAUGCAUGGAUUUACCCCUGGAUACAGGGGCCACGCCCUCGGGUGGAACUAUGCACAGGUGCUGCAUGGCUGUCGUCAGCUCGUGUCGUGAGAUGUCGGGUUAAGUCCCUUAACGAGCGAAACCCUUGUCGUUAGUUGCUAGCGGGUCUAUGCCGGGGACUCUAACGAGACUGCCGGUGUUAUACCGGAGGAAGGUGGGGAUGAC
rnacentral:rRNA from 1 species